rnacentral:lncRNA from 1 species
CCCCACCCCACCCCCGUAAUGAUCCAGUCUGUGAGGCUCUUGGGGAACAUCUAGAUAUAAAUGGCAGCAGCUCUACAGUCAGGAACAAGGCCAGACUUGGAGUGGGCAACGUCAAGAAGGUGCCCUGUUCUCUACGACUCCUCUAUCUGCUAUCCUCAAACGCAGUGGAUCAGAAUUGUCUGCAGGGAGGGAGUUAAAUGAUUCCUGGACCUUCCUCCAACACGCU